AUUGAACGCUGGCGGAAUGCUUAACACAUGCAAGUCGAGCGAUGAAAGCCUUAUGAACUAUUCGUAGUGAUUGAGGCCGGAUUAGCGGCGGACGGGUGAGUAACGCGUGAGCAACCUGCCUUAAACAACGGGAUAGCCUCGGGAAACCGGGAUUAAUACCGUAUGAGACCCCGCCUUCACAUGAAGAAGAGGUUAAAGAUUUAUCGGUUUAAGAUGGGCUCGCGUCUGAUUAGCUAGUUGGUGAGAUAAAAGCCCACCAAGGCAACGAUCAGUAACCGGCGUGAGAGAGUGAACGGUCACAUUGGAACUGAGACACGGUGCAAACUCCUACGGGAGGCAGCAGUGGGGAAUAUUGCACAAUGGGGGAAACCCUGAUGCAGCGACGCCGCGUGAGCGAUGAAGGAAUUCGUUUCGUAAAGCUCUGUCCAAGGGGAAGAUAAUGACAGUACCCUUGGAGGAAGCCCCGGCUAAAUACGUGCCAGCCGCCGCGGUAAAAC
rnacentral:rRNA from 1 species